rnacentral:lncRNA from 1 species
AUGUAUAUAUCUUUUUGGCUGCUAUACUUGGUCUAUCAUUGUCCCCUGUGGUCUGCAAGAGUUUGAUGCAUCUAGGAAUACUUUUGCUGUUAUUCUGGUGGUUCAGUUCAAUGCUGCAUAACCGGUUGAUAGAAACAUUUCAAAUUAUUUGGUACUAGACAUAAAGGUAUUGCAUUAUUAAUGUUGUUAUCCUAUUUUCUUUCGAGUAUCAGUCACUUUUUAAUUCCUUAGUUUCAUGUUUGAAUAUGAUUCUUAUGAAGAAGUUAAUUUUAUAACCUUUGAUGAAUCAGGCAUAUCUUAAUGCAAUUCUUCUCAUAUACCUGUGUACUCACGAGGUCAUGAAGCAAGCAGAAAAUACUACAAUGAUUGCUCCGAGUAGGUAAAAAGCUCUGAUAAGAUUGUGAAACUGGUACAGCAGUACAGCUAGCUAGUUCCUUUAUUAACUUGUGUCUAGUGGAAAUUCUUCCUUCAUUAAGCAUUUGGACUUGUCUGCAUAUCCAGAUUAGUAGAUAUGGGUCAUUUUGAACUGAUGUUCAUGAUUAGGUUUGUGUACAUGAGACAAUGGUGG